rnacentral:lncRNA from 1 species
AAAAUCAUAUGAUAUAAUACUGAAAUAAUGAAUUGUAUUUCCGUGCAGUACGUAGUUCGUUUUCCUCUCAGUAUAUUCUCAAUUAAUCUAUAUAAAUAAAGAACACUCUUGCCUUUUCUUCUCUCCUGUAUAUUCUAUUUUCUGAUAAACUACAGAUCAACAGAUGUGAUUAAUUAGGGUUUUCUUUCAGUACACCAUACAUAAGCAUCUAUGCUUCUUUCGUACAAAGCAGAUAAACAUUGUCAAUUUAUUUUAAAGAGUAAAGUGACCAAACAUAGAUUAAUCUGGAGAACAAAACUAAAACGAUCACUUCAUGAUACCAAACUUUACCUUGUUUAACGGACUACAUGGUGCAAUACAGCAACUAAUUAACCACGCACAUACAGAAGAAACUUCAUAUUUUGCAACGAACUAUUGGUAGAGGUGAUCGAUUGACGUACGUACGUACCAUUAGUUCUUCUCUCUUUUGCAAAAUGAGUUUUGGCUUCGGACUUUCCUUGGUGUCAGUUAACUUCCCUAAACAAAAUGACUCAGGAUAUAGUUCCUUUGCACAAGUAAGAAACAGAUCGUUAAGAUACAAGCACUAUGUCUUCGAUUAUACAAGAUUGUAUGUAGUUCGCGAUUUCUUGGCAAAGGAACGUCCAACAGGCACUUUGGAUCAAUUGUGCCACCAUACCAUUCACUGAUUCUAGUUUGUUUCAUUAGUUGUCCAUACUUGGAAAUGCUAAGCAGCAAAAUUAUAUUGUUGUUAAUUGGUUUCUUUUACAUGUUGUUCAUGUUUCAGUUUGCAGAAAUUUUAAAGAACUCUCUUGAAUUUUACUUGAUGUGGAGAGAAUUCCUUACUGUUAAGGCCGGCCUAAUUGUCAACUAGAGGGUGUCCAUGCAAACCAUUACUAAUUAAGACCAAGGUUCUAAAAGGCGCCAUCUUGUCCCGCCUAGGCUAUAGGCGAGCUAAGCCACCUGGAUUUUCUCUAAAGUGUUCAAGUAAGGCGGUCAGCCGCCCAGGGACCGCCUAGGUGGUCAAGGCGCCGUCAAGGCAAAGCAAGCGCGUCCAAGGCGGUCUUGGGCUAGGCGCGACUAGGUGAAGUCGGCGCUUCUGAACAAAAAAAAGAUCCAAUAAAAACUAAAACUUGUGGACGCCCUUGAGCCUCGUCAUGCUUUGAUUCCCGAAGAUGCCUCGGUGUUGUCCACCAUCGGAGCCACGAUUAACUUGGGUUGGAUGAAGCAGAGGAUGUUGUCGAGGUAGUCGGGAAUGUUCGGUGGUUGAGUAGUGAGGCCAUUUGAGAUUUGGGUUUGAGGGUGAGGUUUUGCUAGAGGAUUGAGAAGUUUGAAUUCCAUGAGAGGACGAUUCUGGAAAUGCUCCUCUACUGUGUAUUGCAGAAUUGAAGCAGAGGAGAUCAUUUACCAGAUCUGGGUUUGUUUGAUUUUUUUUCUUUUUUGAAUUGAAGCAGACGAGAUCAUUUACCAGAUCUGGGUUCGUUUGAUUUUUUUUUUUCUUUUUCUGGGAAUGAAGAGGCAAGAAAGGGGAUAGAUGUUUAGUCGAAAAAAGAAUGAGAUAGAUGUGAAGAAGAAUUGGUAAGAAUGUUUUUGCUUACUUUCAUUGAUACAGUACAGCUAUAUAUACAAGAAUUAGGACCAUUUUAGAUCCUGAAGAUUAGCAAUCAUAUUAAGGAUUUGCUGUCAAUUUCUAUCCUACAAAUAUGCAUCAAUUACAUCUCUAUGAUUUUGCAUAUCCCCUUAGAUAGAAUGCGGCUAUUGAGACUUCCAAAUUUGCUCAGUAUACCUCUCAUGUUAUUUAUACCUCCUUUUUAAUUUUAACUACAAACAUUUGCUCAUUAGACCUCAUUUCAAAUUUCUAAAAUAACCUUAGGUAUGUUAUUCAUAUAUAUCUUGAUAAUUUACUCAUUAUACCUCUUAUUUAUUCUCUAGACCUCUCAUUCUUUUUAAUUUUUUUUUUCUUUUUGCAUGCUGUCAUCGAGACCUCUAUUCCUUUAUUUUUUUUUUUUCAUUCAAACCACUUUCACGACCUCAAUUCCUUGAUAUUUUUUUAUUUCCCAUAGAAUGUCACCAAACCUCCAUUAUUUGAUCAAUUUGUAAGAAAUUUUUUUCAAUGACGUCAAUUUUUCUCUUAAAAAUCAAAUAACACAAAGUAUUGGGUUUCAAAAACUUAUAUUUAUCAACCCAGUACCGUCUCUUCUUAUAACUGAGAGGUCAUGAGUUCGACUCACAGUCAGUGACGUAGCCAGAGUAGGACGAGGAGGUUCAUAUGACCCCUCUAAGUUUUUGACCAAACCAUGAUUGGUGGGUAUAAUUAGAGGUUGUGCAUGCAUAUAUUAUAUUUUGAUGUAAUUUUUGACCCUUGUAACUUAAGAGAAAAGAAAGUGUUUUAAAAUGUUUGGCUCAUUCACUAUGAAUAUGUGGAGGGGACUCAUUGAUUAUGUUUUUAUUACAUUUUUGUCAUUGCCUGAUUAAUCGAUGAAUGUUCUUUGUUAUAUUUUCGUCUUCUAGUUUAUAUAUGUUUUUCNNNNNNNNNNNNNNNNNNNNANAUAUAUAUAUAUAUAUAUAUAUAUAUAUAUAUAUAUAUAUAGUGAAAGAAUAUUUGAUAACGAAACCGGCCAUCAAAGAAAAAAAAUAUAACAUAUGAGGAAUUGUCAUGAACAGAUUUAGUUGUUUAGAGAAACUUGUCAUUUUUUCAUAUUGUAAUGAUUUAUGUUCUUAAACUAUCUAAAGCAUAAACAAAUUCAUGCAAGUUUUUUUAUUUAAUGAUAUUUUUGUUUAAUAUGAUCUUCGCUAUUUAUAUAUAUUCUGACCCUUCUAGUUGGUUUUUCUGGCUACGCCACUGCUCACAGUAGACUCGUUGUAGCAUAUUAGUUGUUUAUAUGAUAAAAAAAAAAUUAUAUUUACCAACAAGAAAAUAUUCUAUCAUAAAUUAGCUUUUUUAUUUCUAUUUUACUUGUGCUAAACAACGAUUAAGGAUAACAAUUGUAUACUAUAUAUGUUUUUUUUUCCCUCUAUAUAUUUUAUGUACAUCAUGAAAUUAUUUCAAUAGUUAUUUAAUUUUUCAUUAUCGAUAUCUUUUUGCAUAUAUAUUCUUUCACCUAUCUACUAUCAACAUGUAUGAUAGUAGAAAAUUUUAUGUCACACGGUCGAUAUUUAUCAUAGUUUUAGCUUUAAUUAAAUAUAUAAUAUGUAAUAAAAUUUAGAAAAUAGUAAAUUAGAAAUUAAAAAUAUACAAGGAAAAUAAGAAAGAAUACAAUCAAUUAAUUAUCAAAUUGGAAAGUCUAGAGAGAAUAAAUAUACUUCUUUUUGUAUGAUUAUUGUUCUUAAUAGUCAUUACGUAAGAGGAAAUAAUUGUCAUUCAAUAACUCAUAACAAAGGGAAGUCAAGUGAGCAAAUUUGGAGGUCUCAAUAGCCGCACUCCCUUAGAUAAAACUGAUUACUAAGAGAUACAAAUCAGUGAUUAUGCAGCAGAAAUUUAGCACAAGAUUAUUGCUUAUCACCCCCCCAACAAGCUAAUGGUCCGUGGGCGAACAGGAAGCUUGUCAAGAAGGUACUGAAAUCUGUUGGUGGAUAGACCUUUGGUGAAUAUAUCUGCCAGUUGAUCUUGAGAACAUAUAUAGCAAACUUGAAUUUCCUUACGCACCACAUUUUCUCUUAUAUAAUGAUAGCUAGUCAACCUCCACAUGACAUGUGCGGGUAUGGAAGACUGGAUUGGAAGCUAAAGAAAUAGCACUGAUGUUAUCACACCAUAAUUUAGGAGGUUGAAGUGGAAUUCGUAAGGCACGAAAUAGGAUGCGAAACCAAGAGAGAUGAGCAGCUGUGUAGGCCAGUUGGCGAUAAUCUACCUCCGUGUUUGAGCGGGAAACACCUGCUUGCUUUAAUUUUAGAGCUCCAGGAAAUCAGAUUUUUUCCUAAAUAAAUACAUGUACAUGCCACCAGUUGAAAUUCUAGUGUUUGGAUCCCCAGCAUAAUCAAAAUCACUAUAGCCAGUGAUAUGCAAAGAGCUUGGGGUGUAAAAUAAGCCAUAGGUAGGAGUGUGUUUUAGGUAACGGAGAAUCCCAGCAACCCAAUGGAUAGUAGUUGGAGAAUGAAGAAACUGGCAAACCUGAUUAACAGCAUAAGAGAUAUCAGGUCGAGUGAUGGUUAAAUACUGCAAGGCUCCUACCACGCUGCGAUACUCAGUGCCAUCUGGAAGAGGAGUUCUGUCAGUGAUGCUAAGACGCUUGUUACUUGUUGGGGUAGAAGCAGGUCGUACAUUAGUUAUAUUGGUACGAUGGAGAAGAUCUAGGUGUACUUUGUUUGUGUGAGAGCAAGGCCACUAGAGGAGCGCACUGCUUCAAUUCCCAUGAAAUAGUGCAAAAGGCCCAAGUCCUUCAUUGAGAAUAGUUUACCCAAAUUGGCAAUGAUAUUGUUGAUGUGAGCAAGAUGAGUACCAGUAUUGAGGAUAUCAUCUACAUAUAUAUAUCAGAAGAUAAAGCUUGAUGGAGCCUGAGUGAUAAGUGAAAAGAGAGGAAUCGGCAUGAGAGGCAGUGAACCCCAAUUCUUCCAAAUAGGCAGAGAAACAAGAGAACCAAGCACGAGGGGCUUGUUUGAGGCCAUACAAGCUGCGUCGUAGUUUGCAAACAUGUUUGGGAUACUGGGAAUCAAUAAAACCUUGCGGUUGCUGCAUAUAGGCAUCUUCUGACAAAUAUCCAUGUAAGAAGGCAUUUUGCACAUCCAAUUGUCUUAUAGUCCAACCAAAGGAGACAACAAUAGCUAAAAUUAAUCUAAUGGAAAAAUGUUUGAUUACCGGACUGAAUGUUUCACCAUAGUCAAUACCUUCUUGCUGCUGAAAGCCCUUGGCAACCAGCCGGGCUUUGUAUCGCUCCACCGAGCCGUCAGGCUUCCUCUUUAUGCGAUAAACCCAUUUAUUGGGAAGAAUGUUCAUUGAACUGGAAGAUGGUACAAGUUCCCAUGUACUUGCUUGAAUCAAAGCAUUAAAUUCUGCACUCAUUGUCGAGCGCCAUUCUUCCUGCUUCACUGCUUGAUUGAAACAUGUGGGUUCAAUUUGGUGAGUAAGAAAGGUGACUACCAUAGCAUACUUCGGAUUGGGUUUCUGAAUCCCUCGCUGGCUACGGGUUACAGGUGCAGAUGGCUCCAAGGAGGAUGAUUGAGGAUUGGAGGUAAAAUGUUGUAUCUCUGGUGGCGGAAGAGAAAGUUGAGAGAUAGGGUUGACAGGUGCCGAUGUGGUUGAUACAUGCCGGCGGCGAUAGGUUUGAAUAGGUGGAGCAGUGGGUUGGGUGGAGAGUGUAUUUUGGUUAUGUGAGGAAUUGGGAGCAAUAAUCUCGGUGGUGAGGGGAUUGAAAUGGUUUGCUGUUGAUGGGCUUAAGGUUUGGGCUUGUGAUGGAGGAAAUUGGGUGAUUGUGGUAGUAGUUACUAUGAGAGGAUUUGGAUCAUGCCUGGUAGCUGUCGUUGGAGAGGAAGUGCUAGUGGAUUCUUUGAAGGAAAAAGAGGACUCAUCAAAGAUUACAUGACGGGAGAGAUAAACAAGACCAGAAGACAAGUCUAAGCAACGAUAUCCUUUGUGAUGUAAGGAAUAACCGAGAAAAACACACUUUGUAGAGCGAAAAUCCAAUUUGUUCUUGUUAUAAGGACGAAGAUAAGGAUAGCAAGAGCAGCCAAAUGUACAAAGAGAAGAGUAAGUGGGUGUACUUUGAAAUAAUUUUUCAUAUGGAGAAAGAAAAUUUAAGACACGAGUUGGAAGUCUAUUUAUGAGAUAAAGAGCAGUGUUAAGGGCCUCAACCCAAUAUGUUUUGGGAACUGAAGCGUGAGCAAGAAGAGUAAGAGCAGUUUCAACAAGAUGACGAUGCUUUCGUUUGGCUAAACCAUUUUGUUUUGGAUGAUGGGGGCACGAGAUUCGAUGGUGAAUACCUUUUUGAAGGAAGAAAUUCUUGAAUGCAUUACUUGUGUAUUCACCACCACCAUUAGAUUAAAAUUGUUUGAUUGUUGUAGAAAACUGAUUUUGAAUGUAGGUGAAGAAAGCAGUGAAAAUAGAGAGAACUUCAGAUUUAUAUUUAAUGGGAAAAAGCCAUGUAUAACCGGAGAAAUAAUCAAUAAAGACAACAUAAUAUUUAAAGCCUUGUAUUGAUAGAUGAGGAAAGGUCCAUACAUCACUAUGAAUUAAAUCAAAUGCAGACAAGGAAACAGAUUCGGACAAGGAAAAAGGUAAUUUUGUGGGUUUUCCAAGGGACAUGAGUGACACAUCGAUGGGAGUUUAUUUUCUAACAACAAUAACCUAGAGGAAAGAUGACGAAAAAUAUUUGUUGAGGGAUGGCCAAGUCGUGAGUGCCAGAUAUUUGCAGCUACACGAGUGACUGAAAGAGUGGUGAAAAGGCUUGAUUUAUUUGAAGAUGGACCAUUAUUGAUUGGAUAGAAUCCAUUAGCACUCGGACCCUCCAAAAGCGUCCUCCCGGAAUGCAUGUCCUUCACAUAAAAGGCAUUGGGUAAGAUUAAUAUAUAACAUGAAUUAUCAGUUAAUAAUUUGUAAGCAGAGAGAAUAUUGGCAGAGGAAUUUGGGCAGUAUAAAACAUCAGAGAGAGUAAUAGGUGAGGUAGGAGAAUUAAGAGAAGUGGUUCCAAUUUUGGAGAUCUGCAAACCUGGACCAGAAACAACACCUCCAACAGUGUCCAUGCCAUUUUAUGGACGAGCAUCAGUGAGGGCAUUGGGAUCAUUGGUAAUAUGAGUAUUUAAACCCGUGUCAAGGAGCGAGCUAGGCCGAGGAGAAGGAUUGGGGUGAUGUAGCAGCGGCAGCCAUGGCAGAGAGGCGAUGAGUUGGGGUCCGACCUUCAUACGCCAUAUUGAGACGAUGAUAGCAAUCUAUUGCUAUGUGACCACCUCGUCCACAAAUUUGACAAGGGCCACGGUCAUGAGAUGCAGGUGCGGGACCAAGGACGGAGCCGCCACGGGAUGGAGGUCGAAAGUUGGAACCUCGGCUGUAGAAACAGGGUCCAGAGGAAGAUCCAUGUGCAGAAUAAUUGCCACGGCCUCUUGGAGAGCUAUUGAAUGAACCACGACCACGGGAGCCGCCGGUAGAGGAGCGGUUUGUGACCAAGGUUGUAGGAGCAGAUUCAAGGGUUAUGUUGUUGUGGUUGCUUAUCAAGAUGAUUAUUGUUGCAAGUUGCAACACAUGUAGACAAGAGCGGGUUUAUUGAAUGAGAAAUUUGUUUGAAUGGUAUACGAACUUUUGCUCCUAUAAACUUUGGUAUAUCAAGUUUUAAAAAUAUCAGAUAGGUAUCUCAUGUUUUCAUCCCGACUUAAUAUUGGUAUAUAUAGCUAUUAAGAUAACAAAUUUACCCUCAGACAAAAAAAAGAUGUGUUCUAGGAUAUUCUCUAUGUGUGCCUUGGCCUUAUGCCAAUAGGAUAUGUAGUUAGACUAGAUCUAUGUAUUCAUAUCCUUACCAUAAUGGUAUUGUGUAAUUCCCUAUAAAGGGCUCCUAUCAAUGAAUAAGAUGAUGACUCUCUUGCUAUCUCUUUGUCUCUACACUUUAUUCUUCAUCACGUUAUCAUGCACUUUGUUCUAACCCUAGAGCCAAUAGCCCACCAUUUUUUUUCCAAACCCUAAAAACCAAAACCCUAAAAUUGGGCAGCCUUGUUUUUCCCGAUUUCUGACCAAAAUUCCGACUGCCCUCCGCCGGAAUUUUAUAUCCCCAGAAAUCUCUUUCCGUCACGGAUCCAACGCUGCCGGCCUCACCCUGAGAACCGGCCGGAAAGUCUCCGAACCGGCCGCCGGAAAAUUCCAGACCACCGCCGCUACCGACCACCGGUUCACCACCUUCCCUUGCUCCGAUCAACCUGAAAUUUUGACAGAAGCUUCCCCAUCCAGAGCUGCUCCUCCUGUCAAAUUUUCAGCCCCAAAUUCGAAGUAUAAGUAGGCGAAACGUUAUUUCUCCUCACGGCAGCCUUUAGAAAGGUAUGUUUUGAAACCUUAAACUCUUCCAAGUUCAAUAACUCAGGGAGGAUAAAAUCAUUUCCUCCUUUCUCCAUCUCCAUUCUAUGCUUGGGAUUUUGUGUGUGCAGGUACCAAAAAUCCCGGAAUUUUAUUCGCGGGUCAAGAGUAUGUUGGAUCACUCUUGUUUCUUUGUCCGGGUUGUGUUUGAUCAACCCCGACCUUUCACCGGAUUGUGUUUGAUCAAUCCGAGGCCUUUUUCAGAAUUGUGUUUGAUCAAUUCGCGGCUUUUUCCGGAUUGUGUAUGAUCAAUCCGAAGGACAAACCAUUUAAAAGCAUCGUUUGUGACCUCUAUCGAGUCUCAUAACAGCUUGGUUUUGUAUGCAAGAGCAAUGUAACAUUCUGCUCCUUUGAGUUUUGACGUACUAGAUGCCUAAGGCGGAUCUUCGCUUGGUAUCUGUGGAACCUUUCAUUGGAAAGGAUUAAACCACAUGUUUUGACCCCCAGGCUAACAAGCCUAGAUGCCGAGAUUUCACAUCUCAUGCGCUCAAAGUUUUGGAAGCGCCACAUCGACAAAAGCCUUCAAUGGCAACCUGUGCAAAAAGUAAUGACCACAAAGUACUGUGGAAUGCACUCAUGGAGCAUUUCUCGAAACGUUCAUAUAACUCUACUUGUUGAGUUAUUAGUCAAGUGGAUUGCUUACCACCUUAAUUGACUACAUAUUGUCGAUGAUCUUUUGUGGCAUCAUGAUCCAUAAUCUUUAGCGGAUUCGAUCAUCAUCAAGUUCUCUAGGUCCUCCAAGUUGGUGUGGAAUUACCAACAAGACUUGAUUUUGAUCAUACAAACGAGAAUUGUAUAUACGCUAAUGUGAUAAACUUAUUUGGGAUUAUCCUCUAAUGUGGGGACAACAGUAUGGGUCAUGGCAACGGCAGAAAACGUCGUGCCGAUGUCUAGAAAAGAGGGGGAGGUGUUGCCGGCUCUAAUAGCGACACUCCCGGUCUAGACACUAUUUUGUCAAAACUACUCACGUCAGCUCAUGACAUUAAUGCAACCGUUGUGGAUCUUCGGAUCACUAGUUCAAGAUUGUCAAGCUCCUUUAAGUUGUGAAUGCAUACAAAAAAGUAUGGAAAAUCAAUAUGAGGACAAGAACGUCAUCCUCAUGAUCGCGAAUAUCAAAGAUUCAGAUCCUGCCCUAGCUACCCAUGACUUUGAUGUCAUCGGCUAGACAUUGAUUUUCGUUCCAAGUUAUAUGUACUAAGGCGUUGUAUCGACGUCCUUUGUCUAUUUCAGACCUUGAUGUACUCACAUUAGCAAUAAUGAAUGCCUUGAGAAUUUUUUCGAAGUGAAACUAUUCUCCUCUUAUGGUUCAUAUUGAUUUACAAUCAAGAUGUACACUUACAUCGUCCUUAGAAACAUGGCAUAUUGUGCCGAUUUUGGUCCCUUCCUUUGAAGGUGACUCUUGGCACUGCAUCCUCAAGGAGGAUCGCCCACGUGUUUCCGGUUAAGUCUUCUACCCUAUAGCGGAUUUUUCAUCAUCAAUUGUUAAACUAGGCUCAUCCAAGCUCAGUGUGAUGUCUUAGAAUUGUCCGAAAUUAAGGAGAUAGUGGUUUUAAGUGUGCAUCGCACUACCGACCCUCCACGGACAUGCCUGGUCAUACUGACUUGGAGUUACCGAAAGCUUUUGAUUUUGGAUCCGCCGACGCUAUUAAACCAAUUGCCGUCUUGCAAAAGACGUUGAAGACUUAUCAAAGCUGGAAAAUUAUCAUCAUGAUCGGAUCCUCUAGGUCCUCUGAGUUAGUUUAUGUUCAUGUCAGGGAGCUUUUGCUAACUAGUUAUGGAGUUUACGACCUUAGAACGACCGAAAGGACUUGGUUUUGAUCAUACACACGUCACUUUUGGCUAAGGCAAAAGCCUACACGCCACCUGCAAGCUUCACAACUUCGCACAUGCCAAAUCUGCGAAAAACAGCAAUCUGUCCCUUCUGGACAGUCAACUUCGUUUGNNNNNNNNNNNNNNNNNNNNAGCUUUAUAUCAUUGGAAAGCUCUAUGAGUCUAGUUUUCAGAACUUUUCACGGUUCAUCCAUAUCUAUUUUAACGAAGAAGUUAUGGCUGUUUUAGUGCGCAAAGGUCAUUCUGCGCGGAAAUUUUUAUGCACUCUCGGGAUUGCAGCUUUUCGUAGCUUCUUUCAAUCCUUCUAAAUGGUUCAAGUAGAACUAUUUACUCGCCUAUCUACUCCUUGUAGUUAUGUCUUAUAGAGACAUUGAGUGCUUCGCAGAUAGUGGAACUAUCCACAACAUUCUAAGGAAUCAUGUUGAGCUUUAAAGACAUUCAUGCUAAUGGUUUUCAUUUGAAAACACAUUGUGAGAAUGAACAAGAAUUCUUUUGUGUAUACCUCCUCAUGAAUGCGAACUGAAGCGCAUCUUGGAGAAAUUCAUGAGUCAAUCUAGUGAACUGUAUGUCACUACGAUUCGAAUAUCGAAUCUCAUGUUGUCGCCAAACAUGAUAUUUGGGACACCGACUCAUAUAGGCUUUGGUUUGACCAAAUUGGUCAACAUGGAAGAGAUAUAAUUGUCCAAAUUUUGAGAAAUUCUCAUGGACAUCCAUUCUUCCGCUCAAAACGAAGACAUUCGAGAUCUAGCAUCACCAUGAAGCAUGGUGGUGACCCGGGGGACAUUGACAUCACCCGAACACGACUCCAACUUCCUGGAGAUCGUCCGGUCAAUUCCUCAAGCAAUUGAGGUGCACCGGCCUUUCCUCGAUGUCGCAUUGCCCCCUUGCAAUGCUCAUUGCUUGUUUUGAAAGCCUAUUCUUUAGCUAAAUAAGGAGUGAGACCGUCCUACGCUAAAUAACACAAAAGUGAACAUUCUAUUCUUACAUAAAAUUAUGUAGAUAGAUACAACCAACUUGCGGACACCUUUUAUGCUUUAUGGUGUUGGUUGAAGUGUUAGCACACUGGUCACGUGUUACACUAUUAUCUACUGCUUAUGCUGCUUAUACUUCUACGGGCUCACUACCCAUUCUUUAAAGAAGUUCAUCGGGAUGUAAGUUGAAGUGUCCUGUACCCCAUGUUCACACGCAAUACGGUCUCACCGAGGCUACGACCAAGCAACUUUAGCUUGUCGCUCGAACAUUAUUGAUACGCACCACUCUUUCUAUUGCGUCUUGGGGCUAUGCAAUAUUUGCAUGCAGCUUUACUAUUCAUCUAUGACCCACCAUCAUUGAAUUUUGUUGUACUACAGCUCGUGACUGUGUACCAGGAUUGACACGAAAUUGCAAUCCUUGAGCUCGGCAGGAUUGAAACGGAUCUCCAAUCCUUGAGCUCGGCUAGAUGUUAUUUCUAGGUGCCAAAUCGCAUUGCCACUGCGUACAAUGAUGGGUCAUUUGAGAUGAAUAAGUUUAGGUUGGAUAUGAACCUCCACCUAUAAUUCGCAUAUGUAGGAACCUUGUCAGGCGAUCUCAUUCACCGCUAAAUUGCGGAUUGUCACUUUGAUGAGACAAUAUUCCCGCCGUUAGGGGGAGAAAAGAACACAAGUGUUUAAGUGGAACGACGUGAAUUGUCGUGGUUUGUCCCCACUAAGUCUCAUCUUGAUCCCAAAUGCUUAUAAUGUUAAAGUGACGAGAUCACAUGCUGCAAAUAUGUCUACAAGGAUUGAUGUCCUACAAAAGGACAUGGCGCGACCAAAAAGUGUUGGUCUUGACGCCAUCACCAUGGAUGGUGAUAUGGUGACGCCAUAUAGUGGCAAAAUUGGUGUCAUAAGGCCGUGUGGCUCCCUAAAAGGAGGGAGGCCCUUAGGUUCGAUAUUGUCUUGCACUAGAAAGAAAGCGAGCUUGGCACAACCUGAUACAUUGAUCAGUGAUACUCAAAUCCGUCUCAUGAAGUCUGAAUUGUGAUUAUCGUUGGGGGACGCCUCAAUGUCAAAUCCAAUCCAUAUAGAGAUCUCUAUAAGUAUUACACUAGUGUACAUGAGGACGUGAGAUAAUGAGUCUACUAUCGAACCACCAUUCGUUGAUGGAUAUCAACUUAGUUGAUUGGCCUAAUGGAAAGAUACGAUCCAGCAUUAACAAAUAGAUAGGUCCUUGGGCAGGUGAUGCCGACACCGCAAGCUAAACCCUAUCAACUAUACCUUUGUUAGAUAGCGUAGUGAGAGUAAGAGCUUAGACUCACCUUAUGGCGCAAGGUCUUUCACUAACACGCACUGGGAUCAACUACGAUGAGAUAUGCUCUCGUAAUGGAUGUCAUUGAACUCCACUACUUUGUCAGUUUGGUAGUUUCCGAAUAACUGAACAUGCAGCCUAUGAAUGUGGUCAUAAUAACAUCUCUAUGGGAUCAGAGAUAUACAUAGAAGNNNNNNNNNNNNNNNNNNNNAAUUGAAGGUCAUGCUGCGCGGAAAUCUGAUUUCCUGCACGAACUUAUGUUUUGAGUUCACAAGCAACCUUCUCCUCAAGAUCUAAGUGUAAAAGAUCAUUUGAGGACAAUACGGCAUGAUUUAGUUAAUCAUUGCCUAAUAUCACAUUUGAAGACAUGUUAAAAAGCAUUGACAUGCUAAGUUGUUGAAACUUCCGUGAUUAGUAAGAAUCAGGAAGAGCCCUAUGAUUGAUGUAAAGAUCAGGGGGAGUGCGAACUUCAGGGGGGAUCUAGCACAUACAUACAUGUCACUAUCAAAUGUGAAGGGUGCGUUGUACUCUUUUUCUCCUACGAUCAAGGUUCAGUUUUUCUCUCACAGGGUUUUUGUGACUUGACGAGGUUUUUGACGAGGCAACAGAUCAGCACCAUCGGCAUAUCAGCGCGCGGCACAAGGGGGAGUGUUCUAGGAUAUUCUCUAUGUGUGCCUUGGCCUUAUGCCAAUAGGAUAUGUAGUUAGACUAGAUCUAUGUAUUCAUAUCCUUACCAUAUUGGUAUUGUGUAAUUCCCUAUAUAAAGGGCUCCUAUCAAUGAAUAAAAUGAUGACUCUCUUACUAUCUCUUUGUCUCUACAUUUUAUUCUUCAUCAAGAUGACAAAUUUACCCUUAAAUUCUCUUCUUUUUUUCUUAGUUUUUUUCUUUGUUUUCAUAUUCGAAUUUUCAUUUUUUAGCUUUUUAUAUUUUUAGGAACGUAGAGAAAAAAUUCAUCGUCACUUUCUCCUUACUAGCUAAUAAUCAGUUUUUCAUCUCAAUCAUCCUUGAAUGUCAACGGCAACAACAAGAUCCUUGAGUGUCAGCAGCAACAACAAUGAUUGAACUUCUGUAUGUUUCCCCUCUUCAAUCUUCUUCAAGUUUAUAAAGGCCAACUGAGAUCAUCAAAUUUCAAAACCUCUUCUAAUAUUUAUGGAUUAUGAAAAACAAAUAAAAAAAACUAAGAAAAAAAGAGAACUUAAGGGUCAAUUGGUCAUCUUAAUGGUUAUAUAUACCAAUCUUAGGUUGAGAUAGAAACAUGAGAUACCGUUUUGAUAUUUUCAAAACUUGAUAUACCAAAGUUCAUAAGAAGCAAAAGUUCGCAUACCAUUUGGACGAAUUGCUCUUAUUGAAUGAAUAAUGAAACCAAUGUUCGAAUUUGACAUUUGGUCAAUUAAGGAACCUCCCCACUGCACUGCCCUUUUCAUAAUAUCAAAUACUAAUAUUUAUAUUAAACUAUUUCUUUUUAUGUAUCUCUAUUUAAGUAGCUAAUUUGGCUUAUAAAACAGUUUUUGGUUGAAUUUUGAAAAACCUAAAUUAUAUUUAUUAAUAUUUUACUAGUUUUAAAUAUUAUAUUUAUUUAUUAAAUGCGAAAAAAGUAAAUUGCAUAAGCCCCGCCUAGUCCCCGCCUAGGCUGUCCAGGCGCUAGGCUAUGGGUCGUCGCCCUCCUACCACCUUUUAGACCAUUGAUUAAGACAUGCUAUUACAGGUUUUAAUUGGAAAUUAGAGGGUGCACCACCACUAAAGCUAGUUAGCUAGUUAUUUGGAACUCUUGUUGAGGCCUAAAGACAGCAAGCACAAGGAAGAGUAAAUGCAAGAUAUCCAAGAUGAGAGCUAGACGUACCUCUGAUGAUGACAAUUUUGGUUAAAAUGUUGAAAAAUACAUUGCAGACAGUGAUGACAGCUAAGGGUUUCUUACAAUGUACUCUAUAUAUAUGAAGCUAAAUAAGAAAUAAAAAUAAUUGAUCUGCUUUUUUUUAAUUUUUUAUAAUUAUCUUGGGUUAUUAUUUCGACUCGAGCAUGUCUUAAUCAGUCUUGACUAAUGAAACAGGCCGGAAGACGAACCUAAAGAAAGAGUCUACUAUUCAUCUGCAACUUGAAUGUGAUAAUUACGGCCUUAUCACGGCAUCGAUCAUUUCAUACUUCUCAAGAUUUGCCUAGGGGGCUCCUUGCCGCCCCUCUCCAAGAUUUUCUUCAUCCUCCAACAGUUGAUUGAGCUCAAUGCAUUAUCUUAGGCGAUCGAGCUGCUUCAAUUUAUUCACAAGUUUUGUUGAAUUUCUGUUAGGACUUUCAAAGUUAAUUACUUCAAUUAAAUAAGGCGAUUGUAUGAUCUCCAUGCAUUCUACUGAUAUAAGAAGAUCUGAAAAAUUAAUUUGGUAAAGUUUGUUCUAAUUAUCUAAUUAAGGGUGAUACCUAACUGGAAGCAAACUAUCAAUUUCGUUUGAACAUGCAGUCAUCAAAGUACGUCUGUCGUACAAUCAGAUCUGUUGAUAAGCAUGCAUGAAAGUGAUUGACCAGGUAUAUUUUCUUCACUUUCAUAUCACGAAACUACCAUUCCUCAUUUUGCUUCUGCGUAUGUGGUUAGAAUAAGGAGUUAAGGACCAUGUCUAAAAGUAAACAUCCCCUACGCAAUUUCAUACACGCAUCGUAUUACAAUAUCCAAAUAGUCAAUAAUCACCAACAACUUCUUGUUCAAUGAUCCACUAUAUAUACGAGUCCCUCCCUCCCUCCAAUGCACCACAAAACAUAUUCCAAGAGAGAUAUAUAUUCAUCAUAGAGUAAAAACCUAGAUUGAAAGAAAAGCAAAGAUGUCUGAUCAAUGCCAAUCCGAAGGUAAUUUUCAUGCAUGAUCUGGUUCCUUAAUUGGUUUCUGCAGUACUUAUAAAGUAAUUGAUCGAUGCGAAUACUAAUUGUUUCUUGUCCAUUUGUAACAAAUAUGUGCAGGUAAGAGUUCAUGGCCUGAACUGUUGGGAGCUCAAGGAACAGAUGCGAAGGCAACGAUUGAGAGCGAAAACUCUUCAGUCACGGCAGUGAUCGUGCAAGAAGGAUCGAUUGUCACUCAAGACAUCCGGUGUGAUAGAGUUCGCGUUUGGGUCGACUCCUAUGGUAUUGUCACCAGGGUUCCUAUCAUCCAGUAAUUGAUCGAUACUAGCAAGUCUGCCCUCUGCUUCAUGCGUAUAUAUUUGGGAAGAAAAUAAAUACUGAAAUAAAUAAGUUUAUUUCCAUGCAAUAUUGAUUGUUAGUCGACAUAGUUUGUACGUUUUCAUUUGGACGUGUGUAGUCUGUUAAUGAUAAAUAAAACACUACUGCAUUUCUCCUCCUUGUUUCUCGAUCCAAAUGUUGUUGAAGGUUUCAACAAUACUUCCCCUACAUACUUCCCCUAAUGAAUUGUAUUUCCAUGCAAUACGUAGUUCGUUUUCCUUUCAGUGUAUUCUCAAUCAAUCUAUAUAAAUAAAGAAACUCUUGCCUUUUCUUCUCUCCUGUAUAUUCUAUUUUCUGAUGAACUACAGAUCAACAGAUGUGAUUAGGGUUUUCUUUCAGUACACCAUACAUAAGAAUCUAUGCUUCCUUCACACAAAGCAGAUAAACAUUGUCAAUUUAUUUUAAAGAGUAAAGUGACCAAACAUAGAUUAAUCUGCAGAACAAAACUAAAAUGAUCACUUAUACCAAACUUUACCUUGUUUAACCGACUACAUGGUGCAAUACCGCAACUAAUUAACCACGCACGUACAGAAGAAACUUCAUAUUUUGCAACGAACUAUUGGUAGAGGUGAUCGAUUGACGUACGGACGUAACAUUAGUUCUUCUCUCUUUUGCAAAAUGAGUUUUGGCUUCGGACUUUCCUUGGUGUCAGUUAACUUCCCUAAACAAAAUGACUCAAGAUAUAGUUCCUUUGCACAAGUAAGAAACAGAUCGAUAAGAUACAAGCAAUAUGUCUUCGAUUAUACAAGAUUGUAUGUAGUUCGCGAUUUCUUGGCAAAGGAACGUCCAACAGGCACUUUGGAUCAAUUGUGCCACCAUACCAUUCACUGAUUCUGGUGUCACCCUAAACACUUUUUGCUGUUUAUUCCGCAGACUGUUUCUGUUUCUAGUUUGUUUCAUUAGUUGUCCAUACUUGGAAAUGCUAAGCAGCAAAAUUAUAUUGUUGUUAAUUGGUUUCUUUUACAUGUUGUUCAUGUUUGAUGUUUCAGUUUGCAGGAAUCUUAAAGAAUAACUCUCUUGAAUUUUACUUGAUGUGGAGAGAAUUCCUUACUGUUAAGGCCGGCCUAAUUGUCAACUAGAGGGUGUCCAUGCAGACCAUUACUAAUUAAGACCAAGGUUCUGGACUCUGAAAGUCUGGAGCAGUACAAAACUAAAACGAAUCUUAAUUACCGAAUUAUAGCUUGUUUAACAAACUACAUAGUGCAAUACAGCAACCACAGAAGAAACCUACUUACUUUGGAAAGAACCAUUGGUAGAGGCUAGGUGACCACUAGUAAUUCUCUGUCGUGGAUGCACAUAGUAGUAGCUGCUUCCUUUGCUGCGAGACCAAGUGAAGGGGUAUAUAUACAUGGCUUACCUGAGAGUGGCUAGCUGAGGCACAUCUCCCUCGUUGGAGAUUUUUAACGUACAAUCAGAUAUAAUCGCCACAUCGAGUGCAAGUGAUACUUCGUUUGCUUUCGCUCCGAGUUUUGUUCCUAUAGGUUUCGAAUGGAAAAGGUUUUGAUGAAUGAUGAGGGCUCCUUGAUCUGAUCAAAUGGAGUUGUCUAAUUAUACAAUUAUUGGUAAGUGGAAAACUACAGUAGCUAGCAAAUUACCGAUGUCUUUUGAAUAAUACCUAUAUAUCAUCUAGUACAAUCAGAUUUGUUGAUAAGCUUCAAUAAAACUNNNNNNNNNNNNNNNNNNNNGCAGGAAAACUGGAAUUCGACGGACUCGCCGGGGAGGGAAAGUGGUCGGGGAAGCUGCUGGAGUCCGCUGGGGUGGAGGCGCGCCCUCACCAGCGCCGUACGGUGGCGAACAGAAGGAAAUCCGCACCUUAAGGCUGUGCGGACGUCCGUAUCUGAAACGGACUGUAUAUAUAUAUAUAUAUAUUUAUAUACAGGGCCCUUCCAAUGAGGGAUCCUUAUUUUUUGUCACUUUUAGGGAUAGGCCCACACUAUUAGAGCUGUUUUUUAAUGAGCUUAGAUGGCUGAGAUUAAAACAAAAAACUUAACACUUAUGUCAAAUCUACACCGUUCAAGAUCAUUAAAAAUAAAUCAAACAUUUGGAUGACUUAACGAUCACCAAAUUUUCUGAAAAUUUGCAUAAGUGAUCUACUUAUAUAUACCUACAAACUGAACGGUAGAGAUGUGAUUUAGUGAUCGGGAAGUAUGUCAAAUACCCUAUCCCUAGAAAUGAACAAAAAAAAGAUCCCUCAUUGGAAGGGCCUAGUACAAUCAGAUUUGUUGAUAAGCUUCAAUAAAACUGAUCGACCUUUCUGUUAUUCCUAAUUGACAGGAUCUAUAUUGUGUUAGAAAUGUAUCCCUUAAUUUCCAGAUUUUUGUGGUUGUUGAGCUAAUCUGUAAUGAAGGUGUUAUUACUAUUAGAAGUAUUGGAGAGGAAUAGAUCCCACAUCAGAAAAGUGACAAAUAAAAUAUAACUUAUAUGUGGAUGGAUCUUAUCCAAUUGUACCGAGACCUUUUGUGAUUAAAACCUAACACCUUAAAGGUGGUUAAUUAAGUUGGGACAGUAUCGGUACAAUGUGAUCCACGGGCCACGCUUGUCGCUGUUUAACAUGGUAUCAGAGCGGGUCCCUCUCCAAUUACUUCUCCAAUUCUCAUGGGCCCGAUUUGGGUUCAUUCUCUCGUCCGGUCCGAGAUUCUAUUCUCUCGCCCGGUUCCGGCUUCUUCACCAAGUGUCCCUUGGUUCGUUCCGUCCCGAUUCAUUCCACGUGCGGGACCUUGAGUCAGGUUACACGUAAGGGGGCGUAUUAGAAGUAUUGGAGAGGAAUAGAUCCUACAUCAGAAAAGUGACAAAUAAAAUAUAAUUUAUAUGUGGAUGGAUCUUAUCCAAUUGUACCGAGGCCUUUUGUGAUUAAAACCCAACACCUUAAAAGUGGUUAAGUUGGGACAAUAUCGGUACAAUGUGAUCCACGGGCCACGCUUGUCGCUGUUUAACAAUUACAGCUUAAUUAGCUAGAAUUAGUUUUUGUUAAUGAUCAUAGGAUUCCAGCAUGGUUUGCUGAUAGUGAUCAACAGCUACAUGUCACGUGUUAUCAUACAUGUGCUCAUGGUCCUCUAUUUAUCUUGGACUUUUUCCUCUUCUAUUGUUGUAAAAGCUGAACAAUAUUUUUCAUCAAUAUAGAGUCUCUUCUCCUUUUCUGCAUUUUUCUGUACUUACUGCAAUUCUUUUAUAUUGUUCUUCAUUUUUUCAUACCACGAACCUCCUAGCUAUUCUUCAUUUUGCUUCUACGUGGUUAUGAGUCAUGGCAAAGAUCACCUAAUCUCCAAAAGUAAACAGCCCCUACGCGCACGUCUUAUCAUAAGAUCCGAAUAGUCAAUAAUAACCAACCACAGCUUGAUCAACGAUCCACUAUAAGUAUGAAGCUCUCGUUCCCUCAUCUCCAAGGCUCCAACCCACAGCAAACAUAUUACAAGAGAUUCAUCAAAGAGAGUUAAACUCAAGACUGAAAGAAAGCAAAGAUGGCUGGUCAAUCCGUAGGUAACGUUCAAUUGUUCAUGCAUGACCUGCUUCCUUGGUUUUUGCAGUUAUGAAGUAAUUAUUGAUCCUUGUGUGCUCAUUUCUUUGAUUCCAUGUAUAAAAUUAUAUGUAGGUAAGGAAUCCUGGCCUGAACUGUUGGGAGCUGAAGGGACAGUUGCAAAGGAAAUAAUUGAGAGCGAAAACGCUUCAGUCACAGCAGUGAUAGUGCUAGAAGGAACACCUGUUACUAGAGAUUUCCGGCUUGAUAGGGUUCGUGUUUGGGUCAAUACAGAUGGCAUUGUUAUCAGUAUCCCUAAAAUUGGGUAACUGAUCGUCUGAUCGUCCAUAACCAUGGUUACUAGCUAGUCUUCUUCAAACCUGUGAUGAAAAUCAUAUGAAAUAAUACUGAAAUAAUAAGGAGAGAGUUGUAUUAAUUUCCAUGCAAUAUCAAUUGUGUUAAUUAAACAGUGUACCCAGUUUGUUUCCUUUUGUGUAUUCUUAAGGAAUCUAUAAACAAAGAAUAAUUGCCUUUUCUUUUCCUCUUAAUAUUGUUGUUGUGAUCUGUUCAACUAGAACUGUGGUUCGGGUUUUUUAAGUACACCAAACAUAUAUAUGAAUGUAGAUAUAUAGGCCUUCAACUAGUCUUAUCAAACAGAUAUUAAUCAACUUGUAACGAGUAAAAUGACCAAACAGAUAAAGAUAAUCUGGACUCUGGAAGUCCGGAGCAGUACAAAACUGAAACGAAAAUUAAUUACCAAAUUAUACCUUGUUUAACAAACUACAUCGUGCAAAUACAGCAACCACAGAAAAGAAACCUACUUUGGGAAGAACCAUUGGUAGAGGUGACCACCGGUACUUCUUCUCUGUCUUGGCUUUAGACUUUCCCUGGUGUCAGUCAAGUUCCGUACGUAUGCAAAUGACCCAAGAAACAGUUCCUUUGCGCAAGUAGAAACCGAUGAUAAACCAAGUUCCAUUACAAAACAUGACUCUGUGACAUCGUGAACGUCCAACCGGCGCUGUGGAUCAGUUGUGCACUGCCACACCAUACCGUUCAAUGAUUCUUGUAGCUUCUGCUUUUGUAGCCAUCAACGUUUUGCUGUUCAUUUUGCUGCAAAUUCUUCUACAUCCUCCGUUAUGUUGAUUGAGCGCAAUGUCAGCUUGAAGAUCGAGCAUUAUCCUUGGCGACCUGCUAUAAUUGGUUAAACUUCUGUUAGCACUUCUAAAUUAAAUGGGUUCUAUGGUCUCCAUGCAUUAAUGUACUGGUUGAAGAAGAAAAUUAAUUUUAGUAAACUUCACACAAUCACAGUAUUUUAAUUUAGCUAAAAUUCCAUUGCAUCAUGCAAGCAGAUACCUAUAUAUGUUUAUAUGUUCUUCAAAGUUAAGUUAGUCUUCAUUUUUGGCUUGUUAAUUGUAGAUAAUUAAUUAUGCCUUUAACAAGCUUUUUAGUAAAUUUGUACUGAUUAAAAUGGUUUCAUGCAUACAGCUUUCAUUAGUUUCUCAUUUUAAUGGUAAUUCAGGCCAGUUACAGCUCCACGUACUUGUUUGAUGAUCAAGUUAAAUCAUGCAAAAACGCUAGCUCCUUAACUUGGUUAGAUUUCCGAAGAGGAAAUUCGUACCAUAUAGUAGAAGUCUCAAACAUUAACUAAACAUGGAUGACACAUCUUCCAUUAACUGCUUCCUUUGCUGCAACGACAAAUCGAGGGGUAUAUACUUGGCUUACAUGAAGCACAUUAACUCUAUUUGACUAGAUUAAGGCUCCUAAUCUGAUCAAACGGAUCGAGUUCUUCUAAGCAAAUAAAAAGUUUUUGAGAUAUAAAUCCCACAUCCACAUCAGGAAUAUGAGACAUUGUCUAUAGGUUUAUAAGGGUUUAAGCCUUUUUAUUCAUUAUCAAUUGGUUUUCGAUGUGAACAUUUUACUACUUUAUCAAAAAAUUUGACUAAACAAAUAAUCUAAUAAUGAAUUUAAUUCGGAGUUCUGAUUAUAGUAGCUAACUACCAAUAUCUUUUGAACAAUACCUAUCAUCAAAGUACGUCUGCAGUACAUUCACAUUUGUGGAUAAGUUCCUAGCUAAUUGACCACGUAUAUGUUACAUGUUCUUCAUUUUUCAUACCACGAAACUACUAUUGUUUGUUCUUCAUUUUGCUACCUUGCGUGGUUAUGAGAAUAAAGAUCUCGUAGUCUAUAAAAUAAUAGUACAAAAAUAAACAGUCUCUACGCAAUUUCAUGCAUGCAUCUUAUUAUAAGAUUCUAAAUAGUCAAUAAUCGCCAACCACAACUUGUUCAAUGAUCUUCAAUCGAAAAAAAGAACACGUUCAAUGAUCUUUUAAUUUAUAAAGAACUUGUUCAAUGUUAUACUAUAUAUAUGAUCCUCUCCUUCCCUCUAAUAAACCACAAGCAUAAUAUUGCAAGAGAGAUAUUCAUCAUCAUAGAGUAAAAGCCUAGAUUGAAAAGAAAGCAAGCAAAGAUGUCUGAUCAAUGCGAAGGUAAUGUUCAUUCGUUAUCUGGUUCCUUAGUUUCAGCUAUUAUAUAUAAAAUAAAUAGUUGAUGCGAGUACUAACCUUUUCUGAGUUCAUGUAUGAAAUAUAUGCAGGUAAGGAUUCAUGGCCUGAACUGUUGGGAGCUCAGGGAACAGUUGCAAAGGCAACAAUUGAGAGCGAAAACGCUUCGGUCAAAGCAGUGAUAGUGCUAGAAGGAACAAGUGUCACUGACGAUUUCCGGCUUGAUAGGGUUCGUGUUUGGGUCAAUACAGAAGGGAUUGUCACCAGUGUCCCUAAAAUUGGGUAAAUGAUGGAUUGAUCGUCCAUAACCAUGGCUACUAGCUAGUCUCUUUCAAACCUGUGAUGAAAAUCAUAUGAAAUAAUCCUGAAAUAAUGACUUGUAUUUCCAAAUUGUAUUAAUCAGAUGGUUGUUUGUUUUCCUUUCAGUGUAAUCUCAAUCAAUCUGUAUAAAGAAAUUAAAAUGUUUAUUUUCACGAGCAAGAAAUCGAUAAAGCAAGUUUAUUUUCUCAAUCUAUCUCAUCCUCCUACUGAUUCUGGUUUGUUCAUGAGUUGUCCAUAAUUGGAACUGUUAAAGCAGCACAAUAUUAUGUUCUUCAUGAUCUUCAAACGUCUGAUCGUUUGCUGCAAUUGACCUGUUUCUU